UAUAUACUCCCUCCGUCUGAAAAUACUUGUCAUCAAAAUGGAUAAAAGGGGAUAUAUCGAGAACUAAAAUACAUCUAAAUACAUUCCCUUUUAUUCAUCUUGAUGACAAGUAUUUCCGGACGGAGAAAGUACAAA
rfam:Triticum urartu cultivar G1812 contig644969, whole genome shotgun sequence.